rnacentral:rRNA from 1 species
CUUGUGGUGAAGUGGAUGAUCCUAUGCUGCCGAGAAAAGCCUCUAGUGAGUGUUGUGGCGGCCCGUACCCUAAACCGACUCAGGUGGUCAGGUAGAGAAUACCAAGGCGAUCGGGUGAACUGUGGUUAAGGAACUCGGCAAAUUGCCCCCGUAACUUCGGGAGAAGGGGGACCUCUGCUGGUGAUGGGCUUUACGUUCUGAGCUGGUGGGGGUCGCAGUGGCCAGGGGGAAGCGACUGUUUACUAAAAACACAGGUCCGUGCGAAGUCGUAAGACGAUGUAUACGGACUGACGCCUGCCCGGUGCCGGAACGUUAAGGGGACCGCUUAGCCAACGCGAGUUGGCGAAGGUGAGAACUUAAGCGCCGGUAAACGGCGGUGGUAACUAUAACCAUCCUAAGGUAGCGAAAUUCCUUGUCGGGUAAGUUCCGACCUGCACGAAUGGCGUAACGACUUCCCCGCUGUCUCAACCACAGACCCGGCGAAAUUGCACUACGAGUAAAGAUGCUCGUUUCGCGCAGCAGGACGGAAAGACCCCGGGACCUUCACUACAGCUUGACAUUGGCGUUUGGAACGUCUUGUGUAGGAUAGGUGGGAGACUGGGAAGCUGUCACGCUUGUAAUGGUGGAGUCAUUGGUGAAAUACCACUCUGGUCGUUUUGAACGUCUAACUCUGGUCCGUGAUCCGGAUCGGGGACAGUGUCUGGUGGGUAGUUUAACUGGGGCGGUUGCCUCCUAAAGAGUAACGGAGGCGCCCAAAGGUUCCCUCAGCCUGGUUGGCAAUCAGAUGUUGAGUGUAAGUGCACUAGGGAGCUUGACUGUGAGACUGACAGGUCGAGCAGGAGCGAAAGCUGGGACUAGUGAUCCGGCAUCGGCGUGUGGAAGCGGUGUCGCUCAACGGCUAAAAGGUACCCCGGGGAUAACAGGCUGAUCUUCCCCAAGAGUCCAUAUCGACGGGAUGGUUUGGCACCUCGAUGUCGGCUCGUCGCAUCCUGGGGCUGGAGUAGGUCCCAAGGGUUGGGCUGUUCGCCCAUUAAAGCGGUACGCGAGCUGGGUUUAGAACGUCGCGAGACAGUUCGGUCCCUAUCCGCUGCGCGCGCAGGAGACUUGAAGGGGGCUGUCCCUAGUACGAGAGGACCGGGACGGACGAACCUCUGGUGUGCCAGUUGUACCGCCAGGUGCACGGCUGGUUGGCUACGUUCGGAAGGGAUAACCGCUGAAAGCAUCUAAGCGGGAAGCUCGCCUUGAGAUGAGGUCUCCCACCCCGUGAGGGGGUAAGGCUCCCGGUAGAUCACCGGGUUGAUAGGCCGGAGGUGGAAGCACGGUAACGUGUGGAGCUGACCGGUACUAAUAGGCCGAGGACUUGACCAC